GAUUUUUUUUUUUAUUAUUUGACUUUUUUUAAAAACAUUUCAAAAAAAAAUAUUUUUUAUAUAAAAGACGUGAUUCUUCUGCAAUGGAGUAGAGGAUGUCGGAUAGAAAAGAAAAAAAGGGUAUAUCAGCUGAGAUCUUAGUUCUUUGAUGUUCCUUUUCAAUUACCUUUUUUCUGCACUCAAGGUGCUCGACAAAAUGCUCAGGGCUUACAUUAUUGAAUGAACUAAUAGGAUAAAAAAGCAAUCAAAGGAUCCAUUUGAGUGGAAUAAGAAGAAUCACCACCAGAAUCCCUGAUUGCCCGAGAUGAUUAUGACACUCAAACUUCUAAUGCUGUUGCUACUCCUGUUGGUUCCUAGAGUAUCAUUGCUGCUCAAAAUGAUGAUGAGCUUAGUGGAGGAGGCAACAGUUUUAUCCAUCCCUCUGAUAAUCCAUCUACUUUGAGACCCAUGUUAGGCACUGCAAGAAGUAAGGGAAAGAAUAAAGAAGAUGAGGAGGAGAAAGAUGAAGAUAACAUGGAUGUUGAGCUUCCAAAGUUGACUUCUACUGUUGAUCCCAAUAAAAUGGCCAAGUAAAGAUUUUUAGAUUAUAAUUUAUCCCGUCAUCUUUUAUGUGUUUGAAUGUGUGCAUUAACUGAUUGAUUAUAAUUCUCUCCAUUGAAAUGUAAUUACAUGAGCUUGAUCAACCAAGCCAACAAGCUGUUAUCAUAGUUUCUUAACAUUAUUUUAAGUUUAAUAGUAAGAAAUAAAGAGAUCACAUGGAAAGCUAUGGAACCUUUCCUUAUUGAAGUGACCGUAAAAAUCAGUAACUUGCUUCUUUUACUCUCUUUUUUCUUCUUCUUCUUCUAGAUUCACAUAGGUCAAUUGGUUCAACCAAAAAGAAAAAAUAGCAGGGAGGUCUAUUCUUGAAGAAAUAAACUUUUUUUCAGUGUACGAGGAGACAUUAAAUUAAGAAAGUUGAUAGACUUACAAAUACCAUAAGCUACAAGUUUGAAUUUGGUUGCCUCUUUCUACCCUUUUUUGAAAACGCCUCACAAUAUUGAUUCUCAGUUGAGGUGUCUUCGCUUUUUGUAUGCUUUCAUCAUUGCAUUUUCCAUUAUUUUGAUAGCCCUUGCUAACCUAUCUAUUUGCCUUGAUUGCAUUCGUUUUUUCCUGCAAAUGUUUGCUCACUCGGAUGCAUGCCUUUGUUUUUCCUUUGAUUUAGUAAUGGGAGCUUGCCUUUUGCCGUUAUCUACUAAAUAUUUCUUUUACUGAAAUAGGGCCACAUAAAUAUUGAUUUUUAAUUGGUUAUAGAGGCUGAUAAAUUAUGUGCAUCGUUUGUUAUUUCAUUUGGAUAAGGGCUAUUUUUCACAGCAUACAGGAGGAUGUUAUUAUUUAGUCAAUGGAAAGCCAUCGAAGAUUACUCUUGAUAAAGGAAAGCUUUAGGAUGCUGCUAAUUACAGAACAAAUCAUUGAAGGUUGCUCUUGAUAAAGGAAAGCUUUAGGUUAAUUAUGGAACGAAGCUAAUAUCCCUUUGAAUUUGUAUAUUGAUGCUAUAUGAAUUCUUUUUUUCAACAGGACUUCAUUUAGCCUCAGAAUAUGUGCUACUUCCAUUGUAGGCGCUAGCAAAGGCCGUAGCUAUCUGUCAGUACUUGCAGCAUUUUAGUUAUUGUUCUCUAACACAUAAGAGACGUUGAUCAGGUAACAAAUCUUCUCUUUAUAAUUUUUUUGGUUUUAGGGAUCUGAUAUGGCUCCUUUUAAGAAGGACUAACUAUAAUUAAAAGUAGUCAUUGAAAAAGUUCUGAUAAAAUGACGAUUCACAUGUAUUACUGGGACCUUUAAACUUACCUGAAAUCGACAUUGAUGACAACCUCAACAGCACUGACAGCCAACAGAAUCAACCAACCUAGCAUCAUAAGAGCGUAGAGACCAGUAGCAGCAGUUGUAGGGAAAAACAGCAGCAACAUCACUUGUAGGGGGGGAAAAGAGAGAAUCCAACAAGAUGAGUUUUCUUUAUCCUUUUUUUCAAUUUUCCCCUUGCUUAGGCAUGGAUUUAUUUCACCCUUGAGAACUUCAUGUGGUGCUUCAUGCUUAAUGUGUUGAUUUCUCUAGUGAUGUUGUGUAUUUGCGUUCAUCAUCAUAGAUUGCACACAUCUGUGUUUUUUAGCAACCUAUUUUCUCUUUUCGUUCAUGUUCUCCCAUCAUUAUUGACCAUAUCUACUUUACUGUUAGUUCUUGUCUGUGUGUGUUAGCAAAUUCAUCAUGUGAUUAACAGUUUUUGUGCGAUUGUUGUUUGUUCUGGCAAGUUUUGGUCAAUUUCAUGGGCAAAACGAGUGAAGAUCACAUUGGCAGAGAAGGGGAUCAAAUACGAGUCCAUGAAAAAAAACUUGAUAGACUAGAGUCCCCUGCUUCUUAAAUGAACCCAGUUCUUAAAAGAUGAUUCGUGUUCUUAUUCACAAUAGAGUGCCCGUUUGUGAGUCUCUUAAUAUUGUCCAAUACAUUGAUGGGGUAGGGGAAAAUUAGUAUAGGGUUUCCGAGGGAAGAUUUGAUCAAUAGUUUAGCUGAUAUCUAAAGAGAACCCAAGCCAUGUUCCAAACAGAAAUCUUAAAACCUUUCAACUGCUCAGGUUCCAAAUGAUAUCCAUAGCCAAAGUACAACAGGAAUGACUUUAUAUUUUCUUACACCAAAUUUGGUCAUCUCUUGCCUUAAAGUCUUCCAACUAAGCACUUUGGUCCUUUGGGAUGCUUUUUACUUGUAGAGAGGAAAGUUCAAUGCUAUUUUCAUUAGUGUAGCAAUUUGAUCUUAAGUUGACUGGAGUCUAUAAACCAAAGAAGUUGUCUUGCUUGAAGUGCGUAUUUGCUUAUUAUCACGAUGUUGUGCAAUAUUAUUGUCUUUUCUUUGUAGAAAUAACACCGUCAAAGUAGUUCCUAAUUUCAAAGAGAACAAAUUAGGAAUUUAACUGCAUUCUUUUUCAUAAAUAAAUCACUUUUCCUUUACAUUGUUUCAACAAGACAAAUACCAAAGGCUUUUGGUUAAACUCAAUCAAUAAUGUUCAAUUUAGUUUGAUCAUGUCUUAUACAACAGAAGCAGGUUGUGAUUUAUAUAAGCAAGCUUAGCUGGUGAACUCGCUUCCGCUCAAUUCUCUUAACCAUGAUAAUUAGUGGGAUUCCCACCUUUUGUUUUUAAGAAUUUCCUUUUUUUAGACUCUGCUUUUAUUGCUUGCUUAUUUAGUUCUUUUUAUUGGUUCAUGGGAUCUCUUGGUUGUUACUUGCUUAUAUAAUUCUCUUAAUAGUCCAUAUAAUUUACUUAAUAAAUGUUUGUCUUUCUUGCUUCGAAACCCUCUUGUUUAUGUCAUGUAUAUGACAAGACCUAAUAGACAGGUUUACAAAUUGCAGACCUAGGUCCCCUCUCACAUGUUUUUAUCUUUUUCUUCUGAUCUUUUUAACAAGAAAUGAGCCUAUCUAGAGAUCGCAAGUGAUGGUUUGGAGGAUUAGAGCCAUUCACUCAUUAACAUACUACCAUGUUAUUUUCAGUCGUCGUUUAUGCGUUUGUGCAUAUCACCUGUUCAAACCUUUAUUUUUUUUCCACUCCAUUUGCUUCCAUGCAUAAACAUUUAGCAUGCUUCCAUUGGAAUGUUCAAGCUUCACAACCAGCUCCUUAUGCUUUCAUUUCUUUCUCUUUUUAGGCAGGAACUAACGACAAUACUUUAUUGCAGGACUGCUGAUUAUCAAGCCUUGUUCAGGUUUGACGAUCAUCGUUCAAACAGGUUACAUUUCUCAACACAAAUUACAAAUUAGCUCACUCUCUCUUUUGUCAUACCAGCAAUGUCUGUGCAGUAAACUCCGCUCAGCCACUGCCUUUUUCCUUUUUUACAUUAUGAACAAUUGCUGGGUCUAGAGUGUGAUUUUUCUUUGUGCCACUGUCCAAGGCCGCUGUUAAUUUUUAUUUGAAUACCACCAACUUAAAAUGUUAAAAGGCCUUUGUACCACUUUUUAUUUCUUUCCAUGAGACAUUGUAAUUCUUUGUUUGGCAGAUUUUUAUCAAUCGAAUUGGGAUUAGCGCAUUAUUGACUCUUUCCACAUCGUCAAGACUACUCUCUCUUGGCCUUGUUUUCAUGUGAAUGUGCAGUUGCCUUCUUUUGUGGCCUUAAAGAACACUCGAUCGAUAGCCCACCGUAACCAAAACCAGGCCUGCAGGGACUGCUAUUUUAAUCCCACCAUUGAUAGGCUUGAAAGAUGAUGCAGUUGAGGGAUGAGUGCCCAGAGAAUUGGAGAGCCAAAUACAGAAGAGAAUGACAUUUUAUUUAUGUAAUAAUUUUGCGUCUCUUACUCAUCUCUCUUCUUUCACUACUGUCAAUAGAAAUAUGAGUAAUAGCAGCGGAGGUGGUCUGAUCGGCUCUUCGAAGGAAGUAAUUGUUAGAGAUUUGAGACAUAUAAUAGCAAUCCUAUUACAAGAAAAGCAAGAGACAGAAACACAUGGAAGAGCAUUACAACAGAGGCACCCCUUGUUGCUGAGUCGGGCGACUACAAAUUUAUGUUUGUUUUUCAAAAGUUGGGUGCCAUUUUUGUUGUGAAUCAAUUAGGAAGACAUGAGAACACGUUCCAAUAGAAAAUUAUUAUUGUGAUGAUAAUUAUCAGGUUGUCUUCGCCUUAAAUUAGGCCAUCAUAAACCAUUUUAAGCUUUCUUGGCCCUGUAAUGAUGGUGAUUUUGGAUGCAUAUGGGUUUCUUCCAACAUGCAGAUCAUAUCUACAAGCACUAAAAUGAUAGGUUCAUUCUUGGAAUGUUUUGGAAGAUAAUAGGCUCAUGAAAAACAAUAUUUGCAAUAGCUAGAAAACCUGCCAUGAUAAAACAUUAAAAGAAAGCCUAAAAUAAAUGUAUCGAAAGCAGUUUAACUUCAUUAUUCCAACAUAGGGGAAGGAAAGACAAACAAUAUGCACUUCACAGACAACAUAUAGACACACACAAUGCAUAUAGCUCGUUUGGGAACGCGGCUGCGGCUGCGUUCUUAAAAAAUUUGAAUUUUUUUUUUUUACUAAAAUUUAAUAUGGUUUGUAUGUUUUGAAUCGUUUUGAUGUGCUGAUGUCAAAAAUGAUUUUUAAAAAAUGAAAAAACAUCAUUGACAUGCAUUUUGACACGAAAAGUUAUUUGAAAAACACCCGCAGCCACACUGUCAAACACGCUCUAAGAAACUUGCAAGAUUAAAGAAAUAAUUGGGUAUAGAAAAAUCACAAAUAUUUGCUUGUCGGGGAAUUCUCAGUGUAUUCUUCGGCACCUCUAUCAACUGAGAAUUGUUGGUGUAUUGUUCAUUGAAGAGGUCUUUAUAUUUCAAAUAGUUUUGGAUAGACUCAGAGCAUGCCUUGAGUCCCCAGACUUGUAUUUUAUUUCUCUAUCAAUGUUGUCCUUCAAUUUCUCUACGCUACCGAAGGAGGGGAGAAUAUUCAACUGUAAUUUCAUUAAUUAUGUACCUCUUGCAGAUUCCAAUGGGUAUGAAUUUAUCGAAUUAAUCAAAGCCUUUAAGAAAUAAAAAUAAUCAUGCAUCCUAUCGAAUGAACUGAAAAUGGACAAUCAAAAUAACCAGGAUCUAAAACGAUACACCUUUUUUCAUCCGACAUCCUCUACGACAUCGUAGAGGCAACCCCUCCAGCACCACCAUUUUUAUGAUUGCCAACGCAAGAGCAAACCCUCCUCUCUGUAGCUUUUUCUUAUCUGAUACAGCCUCGUUCUCUUCAAUUUUUUCUAUCUGUCUGGUGCUCCUUCCUUUUCUUCUUUUUUUUUUCUUCUGCCUGUUUGUUGUAAGAAAAGAAAAACCCAUAAAAAGGCAAUCAUAUCCAAAGGGGAAUUGAGAAAGACUGCCAAAAUACCAUGAUUUCAAAUGACAUACUUCUCAACCACACCAUAGAAGAAUCACCUCUGUAACUCCAGUUUUCAACAAACUUAUUGCAAAGAAAAAGACCUAAUUAAAAUAUUAUAAAACAAAUAGAAAAAGGAUGCGGAAGAAUUACUCAAAAGAGGAGUUUUAUGGUCAAUUUUUAAGUUGAGGUUUUGCAAAAGAAAGGAAUGAUUUUAUGGUAUACAAAGUAAAGAAAGCUAAUGUUAUGGAAAAGCCAAAGUUACGUGAAAGAAGCCUAAAACAAAACAGCAACAAUUGUGCUAACAUGUAUAUGGUGAAAGUGUGCAUCCUGUUUUACUUUCUUUGGUAAUUUUAUCUCCUUCUUCCUCUUUAACAUCUUUUUUUUAAUGGGCCCAGGAUUCCUGAUAAUAUAGGGAUCCAACUUAAAGCCCACAAUUCAGUUCUCCAUGGGUUGUCUUUUUCUCAACAUAAGUUUACUCUCUCUCUCUCUCUCAAGCAGAAAGAAUAUAUUUUUGUGUCGUGAUUCAUGAUAUACAAAUUCUUAAAUAAAAUAAGUGGGGUAUACCUACAAAAAUUUAGUACUUUACAUGUUAUCUCUUAGUUUUCUUUUGAUAACAAAUCAAUCAAAUAUAAUAAAGUAUAAAAACCCCACACACACACACAGUUUCAGAGCCAUAGUUUUUCAAAUGAGGGGGCAAAUUAUUAACAAAUACUAUAUUAUAUAGACGUGCAUUAGAAAUCAAUUCAAAACAUAUAUAUUAAUUCAUAUCAAGUAAAAUUAAUUUUAAAAUACUUUUAAAAUGAAAAAACUUACAUUAUAAUUGUUCUCUUCGAAUUUUCAUAUUUUGAAACUGCUUCAUAAUAGCUUCAUUAUCAAUCUUAUCGAAGAUAUCUUUCUCAAUGUAUACAACCAAACUAUCAUUCAUCCACUUAUCUCUCAUCCUAUUCCGCAAUCUACUCUUGACAAUAUGCAUAGCAGAAAAAACUCUCUCCAUUGUAGUAGUUGCAACUGGUAGAAGUAAUGACAAUUUGAUAAGCAUAUAUACUAAUGGAAAUAUCAAAUUCUUCUUUGUUUUUACCAUUUUCUCUGCAAGAUUAGCAAUACCUUCAAUAGCAGAAAACUCAUCAUCACCACGUAGAUCAAUAAUAUACGUAUCAAGUUGGUCACCAAGUACCAUAAGGUCCACUAUAGAGAAUUCACUAGGAUAAAAAUGAGCAAGGCGAAUAAGCUUUUCUUUGUUGAAAGUAGAGAAAGAGUCAUUUGGGCUUAAACAUGCCACACAAAGAAGUAACUCCGUACUCGUCUCAGUAAAAUGAUCAUCCAACUCAGUAAGUUGCAUGUCAAUGAUAUUGUUAAACAAUUCAUAACAGAAAUGAUGUAAGUUUGUAAUCCCUUGAGAUUUUCGCUUUGAACGCCCACGAAGCUUGUACUCAUCAUCCAUGUUUAGAAUAUCAAUAUCAUGUUUGAUGCAAAAAGAUGACACUUCUUCCAAUAAAGAUUCCCAAUCAUUCUCUCUCAUCAUUUUGAAUCAUUUCUUUAAUGUUUUCAAUAAACUCAUAGCAUUUUCUAGUCUUGAUCUUUUCUUUGUAAUGCUUGUGAGAACUCAUUAGUAACUGCUAGUAUCCUUCUCAAACAAUGAAGCAUGAACACAAAAUUAAAUGAUUCCAUAAUACUUGUUAAAACAACUGCUUUCGUUCUCUGUUCUGAGUUCAUCUCAUCCUCCCUUUAAUCUUAAGCACAUCAAGAACUGAUGAAAACAUUGCAAGUAGACGAAUAAUUGUAACAUAGUGGGAGCCCCAACGGGUAUCACUAUACCUUCUAAGAGAAGUUUCUUGAUUCAGGCCUCGUCCACUAGAAAUUUCUCCAUUUUCAAGUCCUUCAAUAAUUCUAGCAUAUUGUUUUUCUCUAAUCACCUCCAUCCUUUUACAUGAUGCUCCAACUAUGUUUAUAAUGCUAGAAAUAAAAUUGAAGACAUCUUCAACUUCAUUAUGCUUCUUUGUAACAGCCACAAAAGUCAAUUGAAGUCUGUGAGCAAAACAAUGUACAUAAUAUGCACUUGGAUUGUUAUUUAGAAUAAGUGCUUUCAAGCUAUUGAAUUCACCUCGCAUGUUACUAGCUCCAUCAUAUCCCUGACCACGCAAUCUUGAUAUGCUUAGCCCAUGUUUAGAAAACAAAGCUUCAAUAGCUGCCUUGAGUGAACUAGCAGUUGUAUAUGUCAUGUGACUCAUCCUUUCCAGAACUCAUAUUGAAUGCCAAGAAAACGUUCAAUUAUAUGUCCAUUGUUGUCUACAUAUCGUAUAACAACUGCCAUUUGUUCCUUGAUUGAUAUGUCACGUGACUCAUCAAUUAAAAUUGAAAAUAAUAGUCACCUAGAUCUUUGAUAAUCACAUUUGUAAUCUCCUCUAAAGCAACUUGAGUAAUGUCUUUUUGAAUAUCUGGAGAAGUCAAUUUGUUAUGUCUAGGAGCUUCACUGAAAGUAACUCUUUUAAUAGCUUCAUUAUUUCUAGAAAGGAAAUGCAAGACCUCUAGAUAAUUUUCUUGGUUGCUUGAACAUUCACAUUCAUCAUGGCCACAAAAUGGAAGUCCUUGGUGCAACAAAAAACGAGCACACUCUAUUGAAGCAUUUAAUUGAGUUCGAUAAUCACUUUUACUCUUUACUAUCUGCUCAGAUAACAAAGUCAUGAUACUUUAUUUUUCAUUCAUCAAAUUCUCACAUUUUAUCUGAGGUGCAUUGUGACUAUUAUUAGACUUUCCAAUAUAAAGAUCAAAUCUUUCCUUUUUUUCCAAUUUGAAAACCCAUCACCAACAAACGAAUCAAUACCCCCUUUUAACUUGAAGAGGUAACAAUACAAGCAAAAGGCAGCAUCUUUAGCUAUGAUGUACUCUAACCAUGUUGGGUAUGCACCAAACCAAGCCAGAUUAAAGUGUCGUAAUGUUGAUAUAUUUCCAAAUUGUUUUUGAGGAAAAUCACAGUAUGAAGGUUGACAAGGACCUUUUUGUAGAUAAGCUCUUCAGAUUGCAUCCCUAUCAUUUAUAUGGUAUUCAUAAAUUGGUCUUCUUAAGCCAGGGUCAGCAAGGAAAGUGUUAGGGUUGAUUUCAAUAUGACUUUUCUUUGAACUUGAUUGAGUUACAUGACUUGAAGCUUUGAUUGAUUCUUCAUCCUCAAGAGAUUUACGCUUGAAAUACUUGUCUAGUGACAUGUUAAUUUAAUAUGAACCUGCUGGAUUUUUUUAUCAUCAUUAGUGUCUACAUAAUAAUUAACACAACUACACAAUAAUUCAUUGUUAAACAAAAAUCAGUUGAGUUACACAAUAAUUCUAAAUCUUUCAUAUGAAAUUAAUAGCAAAAUACACGUCAAUUCAUCAAAAUCAAAACCUAUUUCAAUUCAUAUCUAUACGUAUAUAAUAAGUAUGUUGAUUAAAUUAUACUUAAUCAUUUCUAGACAUUUAAUUGAGGAACAAUGCCUAGUGUAUGUGUAAGAGGAACAAUGCUUGAAAAACAUGCUUUCUACUUGAUAUUUUACUUACAAACAAAUCAUGUGAAAAUAUAAAUUUCAAUAAACUAUUCUGUCAAUGCAAGAGAUGUUAAGAAUAGUGGUUUUGCAUGAAUAUUAAUUUAUUUCUUUAUAAUAAGAAAAGAAACACUUAAUUGAUUAAAUUAGCAUAUUUAAACAUUUAUUUUGAAUAUAUUUGAAUAUAUUCAUAUCAAAACCCCUAAAUUAUCAUAAACCCUAAUAUUUUUAAUAACUAAUUAUAAAAGAAUAAAACUAAAAUUAGACAAUGAAACAAAUAGAAAAGAUGAAGAAAAUUUACCUAAAGCAUAAAGCAAAAGGCAAGAAAGAUUAAUUGAUGAGUAAAGCAAGAGGCAGGGAACGACAAUUGAACAAUGUUAAACAGGGAAAAAUAAAGAAAGAAAAGGGAAAAGGGGGGGAAAUUAAGGCAAUGAGCUGUAAUUAUAUAUAUAUAUAUAUAUAAACAUAUGAGUCAAAACUUUCCUUCCGUGUAACAAUAAUUCACUAAAUUAAUAUAUUAAUAUAAAAAAUAUAAAAAAAAUUAAGGGGGCAAUUGCCCUCUUUUGAUCCACUGUGGCUCCGCCACUGUGUAUAUAUAUUUAUAUAUUGCAUGUGCUCGUCUAUGGAGCAAACAAUAACAUCACACAAAUGAAAAGGUCUAAAGGGAAAAUCUAGAACUUCUUUAAAAGAAAAAAUAACUAUAAAUAAUCAAUUUCAACCAGACAAAUAUGAAAUCACAAAGUAAGAUAUGAAGAAUAUGUUAUAGGAAAUUUUUCUUUUUUGUUCAAGAUCUUACAUCAACUAUAUGGAUCCUACUUAGCCAUUAUACUCUAUUAAAGGCUAUACUUUCUAUUACAUUCUUCAAUAUUAGUUGAUGAUGCCUACCAAAUGCAUUGAUGUACUUUACUAUCGCAAUCACUUAUGUACUUUAUUUUUUAAUGGUAAGAGUUGGCAGGCAUAAAAACUUGAAAAACAUAACAUACUUUAUUUCUCAAACUAAACUACAUCUGCUUUUUAUAAACUAUAGAACAAAUUACCUUCUCGCAAUAGAAAUUGGUCACCCUAUCCUUGUCUUAUUUAGAUGUUACAACAAUCAUUUAAUAUGCAUCAAGUAAAAGUCUAUAUAAUGGUAUUACAUUGUCGUUAGUCCCAUAUGGAAAUUUGACUUUUUUAUAGUAAACUUCAUCCCUUUCAAUUAAUAAAGAAUUCUUAUGAAUAAUUGCAAUAUCAAAAUAACUUUAUCAACAUCUAGAUACAUGCUUAAUCAUUUUAAAAAGUAUCAACUACCAAACAAAAAAAAACAAGAAGAGGCUAUCCAAGUUAAAAUAUUAAAAGAAUACGUUGGGAAGGUAAGACAUAAUUCUACAACUCUACAAAAGGAUAGAAAGUCUAAUUCUGCCCUUAACACCCCUGAAAUUAUCUGUUAUAGUACUCAACACAAUUUGUCCAAUAAGAGACAAUUCGACCCCUCUUCCAUUUUCAGUCCAUAUCCAGAGUUCUAUAACUCCAAAUUACACGAGGUCAGUUUUAUUUAAAAGAUAACAUUAAUACCUACAACCUUUGUGAAGAACCCAAUCUUAAAUUUUAUCAUUUGGGUGCCCUGAUAUCAGCUGAAAGGUUGAUGGCCAAACUGUUCAUUCCCAAUACAUGGAUUAAACAACCAAUAUCUCACUUUUCCUACUAUCAAUAAUCUGGUUGAACAUGCCUAAAAAAAGACACCAAGGAUUUUCUUCAAUUUAAAUCAUAAUUAGCAUGUUUUUUAUGGUUAAACACAAAUCAAGCCACCACACUUUCCAUUUAUUUCAUUCUUGCUAACUUAAUUUAAACAAAAGUUUCAGUAAGGUUAAAGUUUCUCCUAACUCAAUCAGAACUCAUGAAAUUCAAACGGUGACGUUAACCAUUAUUAUUUCAUGCGACACAUACCAAAAACUUAGAGCAUGUUACAGAUAGAUCUUCUUAGAUCGAAAUAAAACUAAACUGACUUGAAAAUUGACAAUAUAUUGUUCACACAAAACCAGAGCCUUCAGAUCCCAAUGGUCAGAUGGCGAGGAGCAUAAUAUAUCCAAAACCCAGUCCAAUCCAACGGCGAAAUACGAAGAUAUGAUCGUUUGAGUUUCUGCUCUUAAGGUAAUCUCCCCUCCCCCCUCUCAUUCAGUCAUCCUAGAUAUUUUCUACAUAAUUUUGCUAAUUGACUAUCAAUUCUUCACCGAUGAAUAAAUUCUCGUCGGAGUCUCUAAUCUCGAUCUCUGCCAUUUAGAAUGAAGAGUUCAUCAAUAUGACCAAUAUAUCCAAAAUUGAGCAGGAUCCAAUAGUGGAUGGAGGAGGAAACCGCCAGCGAUCGUGACUGACCUACAGGCAGGUUUUUCUUGAAAUGUUGCAAGGGCUAUAUGUCUCACACAAAACUAGAGCCUUCAGAACUCAAUAGUCAGAUGUUAGAGGGUUGUGAGGAGCAUAAUAUAUCCAAAAACCAGCCCGAUCCAACGGUGAAUACUGAGACAUGGCAGUUUGAGUUUCUACUCUCAAGGUACUCUCUCUCUCUCUCUCUCUCUCUCUCUAUCUCUCUCUCACUCAUUUGGCCAUCCUAGGUAUUUUCUGCAUAAUUUUGCUAUUUAUAUAGCAAAUCUAUCCAUAUUUACUAAAACACCCUUAUAUCAAGUUUGGGUACCUUUUUCAUUCAACCAAAUGCUUUUUCUCAGUCCGCUUUUAAAAUACCAUGUGAAGAAUCUUUCUCUCUAAAAUUUAUUUUCUAAUAAUUCAAUACUAUUCCAUUUUAUUUUAUUUUAACUAACCCAUCUCAUUUCCAGUUCCAAAUUAUCAAUAAUUAUAUUAACAUCAUAAAAUUUGAUCAGGGGUUUACAAUUUACCAUCAUUUCUAUUUUAUUUCUCACUAUUCAAUUCAUUAUGGUGAAGUCUUUUGUUGGGGUUUUACAAAAUUUCCACCAAGUCAUCCACAUAUUUAAAUUAUAAAUUGUUAGGGUUUCACAAUGUCUAAUAGAACUUUAUAAAUUGGAAUGCGUAAAACACGUUACGACAUGUUAUAAUAGAUGAGAAUUUGAUGAUAUCAUAUUGAAAAACAUAAAAGAAUAUUUUAUAAAGAAAAAGACAUAGGCUUCAGCCAUGUUGGAAGAAAAUAAAAAGAAGGGUCUUCAUAAAUGUAAUGGUAAUUAAUAGAUCCUCCUUAACAAUAUUUGAUAAUUGGGUGAAAUUGUAAUAGAUUGAAGACAUUACAUGUUAAUUUUGCUCUAUAUGAUCUUGGAAAUGAAUUGUGAUAAGGUCGAUGUCCAUGAAAUAGGUUAUGAUAUGAUCUUUUAAGAAAAGAACUUGCUAUUGACUUCCAUGUAUGAACUUGGGAAAAGAAACAUCGUAAUGACUUAGUUUUCAUUGAUGAUAUUUAAUGCUGUAAUGACUCAGUUUUCAAUGAUGAUUUUCAGUGCCGUAAUGACUCAGUUUUUGUUGAUGAUUUUUAAUAAAAUUGGAAUGGAUGUUUUAUUAAAACGUUAAUACCAUGCAAAGACUUGAAUAAUAUACAUGCAAAUAAAAGAUAUUUAUAUAUGUUUAUGUGCUCACAAUUAUGUGUGGAAAUAAUCUUUCACUAUGCCUAGAGAUAAUUAUUAAUUAAUGUCUCUUUAUGGACCAAGAGGUACAACAGGAAUUUAAUCUUCGAUCAUGCGAGGACACACUACGCGGGGGGGUAGGGAGGCGAUUUUCUCCUUCAUCUAAUCUGUUAAAUUAAUGAGGUAUUUUUUAUAAGGUAUUACCAUUUAAAUUCUGUUAUUUUAUUAACCAUGAAUUAUAAAGAAUAUUGAGAUUAGUUUCGGCUAAAAAUAUCCAUGAAUUGAAUAUUUAGGAAUAAAUAAAAAGAUUAGUUUUGGCUAAUGGUAUCCAUGUCGGAUAGUCCGGGACAAAUGAUAAGCUAAGGAUAUCUAUAAAUUGGAUAUUCAAGAAUAAACAAAAGGAUUAGCUUUGGCUAAUGGUAUCCGUGUCGGAUAGCGGAGAUCAAAUGAUAAGAUUAGCUUUGACUAAUGAUAUCCAUGUUGGAUGGCCGGAAACAAAUGCAAAGAUUAACUUUGGCUAAUGGUAUCCAUGUUGGAUAGCCAAGAGUAAACAUUAAAGAUUAACUUUGGCUAAUGGUAUCUAGGGCUGAGCAUUUUCGGUUCGGUUCGGUUUUGGACCAAAAUAAACAACCAAACCGAUUUUUUUUUUUUUAGUUUUGGAACCGAACCGAACCGAAAACCGGUUCAAACUGAUUAAUUUCGGUUCGGUUCGGUUCGGGUUUUUUCCCUUCCAAACCGAUUCAAACCGAAAUUACUCCGGUUGAUUUUUUUCUGGGCUUUCUAUCGACAACAUUUUUCAACACUUCUGUUUUGUACUUGCUUCCAUUUUCCAGAAAAUCAACUUCAAUUUUUGUUUUGAUAGAUCCUUGCCCAGAAGUUAAACCCAGCAAAAAAAUACACAAAACAAAACAAAAAAUAUAUCCCUGGCUGUGACUGCUUUCUUUGCAAUUAGGUUAGCUAGUCCGCUCUUUCCUGUUCUUCAAGCCCAAUGAGCUUAGGGUGUCGUUACACCCAUUCAAUUAGAAUAGAUCUUGAUUUAGUGUCCUUUCUUCCUAGGUUUUGGAAUUUCCUGAAUAGUGUGAAAUAAGAGUGGUUAGAAGUAGGAAUCGUUGGAACUAGAUGAAAGCCUAAGAUGGCCUCAAGAAGCGAUUUCAAACACUACUUAUAAAAUUUUGUAAUAGAAUAGCCUCAAGACUGGAAUUCUUAAACCUUUCUUUGUAUAUUCCCGCGCCGUCUGAGAUGAGAGAUGAGAGAUGAGAGACAGAGAACAUGGAGGAGAAGGAGACAGAUUUGAGAGAUGAGAGAUGAGAGGCUGAGAGCAUGGAGAAGAAGACAGUUUUGACUCAGAGAGCAUGGAGCAUGGAGAAGAAGACAAUGCACAAAACUUUUGAGAGAUGAGAGGCAGAGAGAAGGGAGAGGAGGCGGCUGAGAAAGUGAGAAUAGUGAUUUAAGUUUAGGUUAGGGUUAGAAAAUAUGCUAUUUAUACUCUCUCUUUUUUUCAAGAGCCAGCUUAGUUGAACCGGGCCGGUUCGAUUCGGUUCAAUCGGUUUCAGAUUUUAAAAACCAAAACCGAACCGAACCGAACCGGAAAUAUUUUGUGAUUUUCUAAUCGGUUUAAUCGGUUUUUUUUUACGGUUCGGUUUUUUCGAUUAUUUUUUUUCCGGUUUUCUCGGUUUUCUCGGUUUUUCAGUUUUUUUGCUCACCCCUAAUGGUAUCCAUGUUAGAUAGCCGAGAGAAAAUAAUAUGAUUAACUUUGGCUAACGGUAUCCAUGCUAGGACAACCAAAAGUAAACAUUAAGUAUAGUCUCAAUUGAUAGUAUUCAUCGAUAUGAUGAAAGGAUGAUAAUAAUAUAUUAUUAUCGAUCAGAAAUCAUGUUUUAAGAACCUAUAUUAAUUUAUUAUAAUUAAAGAUGAAUAAUUUAUAUAAUGAAGAAUUCUCUAUAUAUGAAUUCAUAGAUUAUAUUAUAUAUCAUUGGUUGAUUGUUGGACAUAAAUUAAGGUGAAGUAACGAGGACUAUUGUUGUAUGAAGAUGUGAAGUAAUGCAUUCAAGAUAGACCUAGUAAAAAGUGAUUAAUGUGAACUUGCUUCAUUAGAUAUUAAUCUUAAUUGUGACUAUAUGUUUUAUUACUCAAUUGUACCAUAAUUAAUGUUUAUACUCUUACAUCAAAUUUAAUUUGUAAUAGGAUCAUCUCAUAACCAUGAUGUAUAGCAAUCUCAUAGUAUCUAUAUUGUGAAACUGAAUGAUCAUGUAAUAAUCUAUUUAGUAGUAAGAAUGAACGACUCAUAUUUUGUAAAAUUGUAUGAUAUCGAUAUUCGAAUUUAGGAUAUGUAAAUUAUGGUGUUUUGAUAAGCUUUAUAUUUUGAACAUGAUGUAUAUGUACCUCUCCUUCCUAUAAUACUAUUAUAUCUUAUGUGUAUGUAGUCUAUAUGAAUGCUCAGAUAUGUUUGGCUAUUAACAUGAUAAAUGGUAUAAUGAAAUAUACAUUUCUAAGAAGUUAAGUAUAUAAUUUAAGAAUCAUUUGCAUUAAACAUUAUGCUAAAGGACAAUGAUAUGUGUGUGUAUCAAAAAUAUUUGGAAUUUUACUGGCUUUUAUAGUUGGUAUCAGAGCUCCUAGCUUUGAUCCUAGAGAAUCUAAAGUAAAUACUUAUAAGUAUUGCCUAUUUCAGGGUGGUAUGUACUUGGCAAAGAACUCUUGUUGAACCAACCUUUAUAUAAAGGGGAAAUAAAGGCAAGGGUGCUGAUAAAUAGCAAGAGAAAAGUCCUCUAGAUGAUAUUGCUUCUCAUGUACUAGUAGUGUCAUUUCAGUCCAGGCAAUGAGAAUCAGUAGGAGUUUAGAAUGAACAUACUCUGAAAUAAAUGUACCCCCUCCGACGACACCAAUAAGAGUAUCCACGCCUUAUGUUGACCCAGUAUUCCUUGUACACAUAGUCAAGGUAGUAAUAGAAGGUAUGGCCAGUACUACAACUCAUGCAACCCCAACUGUACCGACUACACUAGCAAAUCUAGAAAUUUCUACAAUCACUGAUAAUGUAGCACUACUGGUUCAACUAGUUAAAAGUAUGAGAGAAAUAGGUUGCAAACCUUAUAUGGGGGAGCAGGAUGCAAAAAUAGUUGGAAGAUGACUCGGGAAAGUGGAGAAAACGAUGAUUUAAAUUAAAAUACCUGAAGAUUUAUGGGUAAAUGAUGCUACACAAUUGUUAUCUGAUAGAGCUAUAACAUGGUGGGAAAUAGUCCAGUUAAGAUGUGCUAUAGAAGCAUUGACCUAAAAUGACUUCAAAUUCAAAUUUGAAAAUCAAUUUUACUCCCCGCAAAGUGAAAGAACAAUAAUUCUUAGCCUUAACACAAGGGAAGAUGUUUGUGCUAGAAUAUGAAAGUGAUUUCAUGAUCUCUCAUUAUUCGCCUCACGUUAUGUUUCGACCGAGGAACAUAUGAUAGAAAAACUAAAGGAUGGUUUUUGUCAGGACUUAAGGCAAAUAUUAAUUGCCCUACAAUUCAAGAUGGUGAGAUAGUUAAUCGAAGCAACACAAGCAUUGAAAGUAUGCAUUGGGGAAGGCCAUCAGGGUCAGUAUAGGAUUGUCAAAGAGAAAAGAUAAUGAAUUUUCUGCGAAUAGGCAACCACUCUCGAAAAAAGGUAAAACUGGAUUGUUUAAUCAAUUUAAGAAGAAAAUGGGGUAUCAGUAUGUUCUCACCAACAUACAGGUAGAGGAAUGAUGGGAGGACAGAUACACUCGAGGGUUAACCUUUUAGGGGGAUCAUUAACCAGAAAAAUGUUAUGUACCCUUUUUGUGUACAUUGUGAAUAGAGAGACACCCCAAUUAUUGUUCGGUCUCCCCGAACCAAUGUUUUAUAUGCCUAGGAGAGGGUCAUAGAUGGAGAGCUUAUCAGUAUCUAAGACAAGGAUGUUUUGUUUUAGUGAAAAAGGACACUUCAAAAGAGAGUGCCAUCACAAAAUCUCUGGGCAAUCACAGAAUGUGAAGCAAACAAGUCAGAGUCAUCAACGGUCUAUCAUAAUGAAUAGACCCAUGAAAUCAACACAGUCAAGGGCUAAUUCUAAUCAGGAGCUUGUCAAUAUUUAACUUAUUUAAUGUUUGAAACUUGAUUAUUAUAGUAGUUUAACAUUGGGUAAAGCUUUAAUUUGAGGGGGGAAAAUCAUGCCUCCACCUUAACUAUAGGGUUGGUCAUAUGUGAUGCAUGGAUAGGGAAAAUAGUUUUUAAAAUUUAUUUUUUAAUUGUAUUGUGGAUUAUAUUAAUACUCAAACGAUGAUAAAUAAUGAGGAAGAAUUGAAAGAGAACAAAAGGGGACUCACAAUUUCCUUUAUUGAUCAUGCCAACUAAUAGGCUAUAAAAAGGUGGGGAAAGGAAAGGUAUAUGGAUGAUGUGUGAAAUUAUCAUAGAAAAUGUGUUUGAAUUAAUUUGGGUUUAAUCGACAAAGAAUUUUGAAUAUUGAAAUGAAAAUAUAUAGGUGUAUGUAUGAUUUCGGGAAAUAAAAAUUGAAGAGUGUUAAUUUAAGAAAAGUUGUGUAAUGAUUCAAUGAUUUUGGGGAAAAAGAAAAAUGAUUAAUGAUGAUGAAAUUAUCCUGUGAUGGCAGGGAAUACUACUGCAAGCAUGCCACAGUUUAGAGUAGAAGCUAGGACAUCACGCAAUACAGGUAGGUUCUAACCUAUAGCAUAAUUAUCUAAGGCAUUGUUUAAUUAUGAAAUGCAAAUUUAUUACAAUUUUAUUUGAUAUUGAGAGUAUUUGGUUUAGAGAUAAUGAAAUAAAUAAAUAAAUAAACAAUUGAAGGAGAUCCCGACUUGAUUAGUCAUUCCUGAAAUUAGGAGACUAAUGAUAUCAAUAUAAUUUAUUGAUAUCAGCACUUUUCAAAUUUGAUUAGUCGUUCCCAGAAUUGAAAAACUAAUGAUAUCAAUAUAAUUUAUUGAUAUUGACACUUUCUAAACUUUAUUAGUCCUUCUCGAAAUUAAAAGACUAAUGAUAUCAAUAUAAUUUAUUGAUAUCGGCACCAUCUGAACUUGAUUAGUCGUUUCUAAAAUUAGAAGACUAAUGAUAUCAAUAAAAUUUAUUAAUAUCGGCAUUAAUCGAGAUUUGAUUAGUUGUUCCUAGAAUUGAGAGAAUAAUGAUAUCAAUAUAGUUUAUUGAUAUCAACAUUAAUCAAGAUUCAAUUAGUUGUUCCUGGAAUUGGAAGACUAAUGAUAUUAAUAGAUUUUAUUGAUAUUAGUAUUAAUUGAGAUUUGAUUAGUUGUUUCGAGGAUUGGGAGACUAAUGAUAUUAAUAAAUUUUAUUGAUAUUGGAAUUAAUUGAGAUUUAAUUAGUCAUUUCUGGAAUUGAGAGUUUAAUGAUAUCAAUAGAAUUUAUUGAUAUUGGCAUUAUUCAAGAUUUGACUUGUUGCUUCUGGAAUUCAGAGACUAAUGAUAACCAUGAUAGACAUUGAUAUGCGUAUAUUUUAUAUGGACCAUAUAUAUAUAUAUAUAUAUAUAUAUAUAUAUAUAUAUAUAUAUAUAAAGGAGAAUGGUUAAGGAAGAAUUUAAAUAUAAUUCAGUUGUAUUAAAUUAUUUAAGUGAUUAUUCUUAAUUAACAUAUCAUAUGUUGCAUUCUUUUCAGGGUCAUCACAUUCAUGCUAGGAGUAGAUUACUUCUGCAUCUCUUGAUUAUAUAAGCCAGAUUCAGGAUAUGCAUUUUGAACAAUAAUAUUAUUUUGCUUAGCAUGUAAACAUAUAUGCUCAUAUUUUAUGGAUUGUAAUUAUCUAACCUAAAUGCACUUUAACACUUAUGUAUGUUGUAUUUAAUAUCAAUUUCUUAAGUAUAUGGAAUUAUUGUACUUUGUAUAUAUAUGGAUAUAGUUGUUAAAUAUAUUUGUAUGGAUGAAGUUGUUUUGAGAAACAUUGAUUGGUGGAGGGAAAUGAUCUACGAUGAUUGAAUCAAGUAGAUGAAAUUGUGUUGAAAUGUGAAACAGUUUUAAUCGAUAACUUUGGACUUUCCAUUAUAGGAGAAACUCUGUCAAAAUUUCAUCAAAAAUUUGAGUGAAAUUUUACAUAUACAUUUGUUUUUUUUAAAAAAAAAUUGCUUGUAAAUCUUCCUGAUAAUAAUUAGGAAUGUUACAUGUAGUGUAUAAGUUAGUAUUUCCCCCAUAUUUGACCAAAAUUCAUGAUGUGUUCUAUAUCGAGAGCUACUACAAAAAGCCGAUGUGGAUCCUUCACGAACACUACCCCAGGUUCCUUUAGAAAUUGAGGAAGAUUUAACUCUGGAAGUAAAGCAAGUAAAGGUGUUAAAUCAAAUUGAAAAGGAACUCAAAAAUAAAAAGAUUUAUAUGAUAAAAGUAUUAUGGAGAAGUUUUAAAAUUGAGGAGAAAACUUGGAAAAGAGAAUUGGAGACGAGAAAUAAGUAUCCCAAAUUAUUUUUAGACUCAGGUACGAGAAUCAAAUUUCGAGAAAAAAAUUUUAUUUAAGGAGGGAAGAAUGCAAAACCCUGUUUAAAAUUUUUUUUUUCUUUUCGAGUUAGUAAAAUAUAAAAUUUUAAUUUUGGAGAUAAAAUAGGUUACAUCACAUUAAGGAAAAUCUCAUGGUGAUUUGAGUAAAUAAAACAAUGUGCAAGAUUCAUAUUUUUUUAGUGUAAAAUCACUAACUAUCCAAUUUUACGAUAUUAAACAUAUCUUUCAAUCCGACUAUUGAAUCAAGUCAAAAUUUUAUGAGUUUUCAGAUUUAAUAUUCUAUCUGGGAUUAACAUUUCGAGAAAAUCCAAGUUUGAAAAGAUUUUGAAAAACAGUGAUGACCAGGUAUACAAUAAUAAAAUAUUAAUUAAGUGGGGACCAAGUUGUGAUUAUGGAACAUUUAGGGCAAUAGUGUAGUAAAGUGAAACGAGGGUGAUUAAAUUGUGAAUGGCUUCUCCUUGAAACGAUUCAUGUCUAGCAACAGUGUGUGAGUAAAACAAAGAGGGUUUCGUCAAUAUAUUUGAUCUUUACCAUAAAUUCACCCAUUUAAACACUACAUAAGAGUGGGUAAAGGAAUAAAAAAAAAAGGUGUAUGAGGGAUUUGAGCUGAUAAUUGAAGUUUUCUUGGAGUCUUGAAGGGCAAAAAGUGAUGGGUUGGGAGCACAAAAAUAAAGGAAGAAGAAAACUUGUUUUCAUGAUCUUUUUUCUUCAAAUCUCUUGUGUUUAAGAGGUGAGAAACCUUGAUUCAAACUUGGUUUGAGUUUAUUUUGUGAAAUGAUACAUUUUAGGUGAAAUAUGCAUGAUGAAAAUUUGGAAUUUCUUGAAUUAUUAUUUAAAUUGAUGGUAUUGUGUUUGAAUGAUAUUCAUAAGAAUAAAAUAUGAUUAGAUAAUGAUUAAAUUGGAAGAAUUGAAGAGAAAAUCUACCCCCUUCCAUCAUUGUGAUGGGUUCGAACAAGAAAAAAAAAUAAGAGUGGGAUUAAUUGAUGAAAUUGUUAUGUAAUUUGCAUGGAAUUAUGUUUUAUGAGUAUAUAAGAUAUGGGUGAUACAUGAAUAUGGAUAAUUAAAAAGAAAAAAUUCAUCCUCUUAUUAUUAAGGAAUUCGGCCAAACACUAAUGUUUAAAGGAUGAAGUUUUUAAUUGUCUUAAUAGGUGGAUUAUGUUUAAAUGGGUAAUAUAAAUGUAUAAGGGAUGAAUAAAAUAUGGGUGUGUACACACACACACACACAUCUUUCUAUGAUUUUAGAGUGUGUGUGUGUAGAUGUUAUUCUUUAAGGGAUGAAGUUUUUAAUUGUCUUAAUAGGUGAAUUAUGUUUAAAUGGGUAAUAUAAAUGUAUAAGGGAUGAAUAAAAUGUGGGUGUGUACACACACACACUAUUUUAGUGUGUGUGUGUGUGUGUGUGUGUGGAUUUUAUUCUGGGGAUUUAGGAAUGGAUCUAACAAUUAUAAUAAAAUGAUAGUGAUAAAUUUAUGUUAUGUUAAGAGGAGAUACCACCGCUGCCAGAUUACUGGCCGGAGUAGAAGCAGGGACUUCAUAUGUAGCAGGUUGGUGUUAGAUACCUUAAUCACUUUUAAUUAAUUAAUAAAAGUUAAGCAUGCAACUAAAAAUUUGUUUAAAUUAUAAUUUAUGUUGUCAAAUAAUAUGAUAAGCUAAUUAUCUUGGUUUUGAGACUAGCACUUGGUUUGGACAUGUUGAGCUAGUUACUCUGGUUUAAGGACCGGUGCCCGGAUUAGGGCAAUGUGGUUGAGUACCCUGAAUAAAAGGUCUAUACCCGGUUUUGAGAUAAGGUAAAACUUUAUCAUGGUAAUGAGUUAGAUGUUCAAGGGAGGACAAAAAAUUAAAUAACGUAGAAUUUGUGAAAUCUCUCUAGGGUUGACUUAAUUAAGUUGAAUUAAAGAAAUUUACUUAACACAUUUUAUACAUUAUGUUAUAUCCAAGUGUAGUUAAUUAUGUGUGAAUAAUUUUUCAGAUACCUCAUAAGAGCAUGUUGAUCCAUAACUCCUCAAGAGUUGUAUUUUUGUUUAGAAAUUGCAAUAUAACUAAUUAUUAGGUCAUAUUGAAAUGAAAAUAUUUUUUUUGGGCUUGUACUAAAAUGUUAGAUGAUAUUUCAAAUGAUAUAAGUUAAUUAACUUGAAAGUUUGGAUGAUUUAAUUUAUAUUUUGCAAUAUGUUCACUUUAAAACCUUAAAUAGAAUACGUCAUGUACUGAUUUGCCAUUAAAAUUCAUGUUAGGUUAUAAUUUAUAAAUAUUUACAAAAUAUCUUUUUAAAGAUAUUUAUAAAAAAUGUUUGAAUAAAUCAUAAAAUAAAAAUGUUAAAGUUCAAUUAUUGCAAGACAUUGAGAAUGUCAGAGUCCCAAAUGGUGGGAUACUAAAUGGGUGAAAGCCCCGGAUGAUGGGAUAAAUGUUGAAAUCUUUAUCUCUAGGUUAUGAAAACUGGUUAAGUUGAUAGCUUGAUAUUGAAAGAUUAGAGAAAAUUCUGCUGAAAUUUUGGCAGAAAAAAAUUCUUGUAUUUUAAAUGUUAAUACAACAUGUAUACAUGGAAUAUUGUGUAAAUAAAUUGAGGUCGUUACAUAUGUGACCAAUGUUCAUUCAUUCCACACUUAUAAUGUAUAUUUUUUCAUCUUUUUAAUGUCUCCACUAUGUAUAUUCUUUCUAUUUUCUUGUUUCUCCUUAUUUUGUGAAGGUUUGUUAGAAUUAUUACCAUCAUAGCUGUCAAAAUUAAUCCGUCUUUGCUCAUGGCCACAUCCACGGACUGUACUACGACCAUGAUCAUGACCACAACCAUAAUUACUAUUAUUUCUCGUAGCAUUCACUCCAAGGAAUGGAGUUGAACCAGUUGUUCGUGAUACAUAUUUUUUUUAUUAUCAAAAGCUCAUUAUUUUGUCCAACCACAAGGAGACAUGAAAUUAGUUCAGAGUAUUUCUUAAAACCUCGUUCUCUAUAUUGCUGCUGCAGAAGCACAUUCGAGGCAUAGAGAGUAUUUUUUGUCUAACACAUCUCAUCCGUGAUAUUAUCUCCAUAUAAUUUUAAUUUGGAACUGAUAUUAAACAUUUCAGAAUUAUAUUCACUUGUCAAUUUAAAAUCAUGCAAUCGUAAAUGUAUUCAAUGCUUUUGGGAGAAUAAGUUUCCUUUAAUAGUCAUAUCUUUCUUUCAAGUUUUUCCAAAGAAUAAGGGAAUCUUUGAUUGUGAGAUACUUAAUUUGCAAUUCCUUGUGAAGAUGAUGACCUUAGAAAAUCAUGAUAUUUGCCUUAUUUUGACUAGAUUUUUUAUUGUCAGCUUUAAUGAUGUCUUCGAGACCCAUGACAUCUUGAUGAAUUUUGAUAUCAAGGACUCAUGAUAAAUAAUUCUUAUCCGUAAUAUGAAGUGUCGUUAACUCAAGUUUAACAAGAUUUGUCAUGAUUACUUCAUGAAAAAUAUUAAGAUUGUUAGAAAUUUAGCUUAAACAUUAUAAUAGAUAUUGAAUAAAUUUGUUAUGAAUUUCAAAAAAGAAAAUGAUUCACUUAAAUAACUAGAAGGAAAAAAAUUAAGUAGAUAAACUAACAUUCCAUUUUUUAUCCAUAAAUCAAAUAUGAUUAUCCGCUUCAAAAUGAAAGUAAGGAGCAAUCAUGCUAAUGAUGUUUUAUAAAACUAUAUCUUUAGAAACAGACAAAAUACUUAAUAAAAAGUAAAUAACAUAAAUAAGAACAAUAAAGAUUGGGAGAACAUAAAUAAGGAGCAAUCAUUCAUAUUUAUAUAGUCUUGUAAAUGUCGUCAUAUACACAUCAUCUCAACAAUGUUUUUAUUUAUGAUCUAAUGUACAUUAAUACUUCUAAGCCCAAGAAUUAUAGAUAUAGAGUUCAAAUAAAUUUAAAGAUGAUGAAUAAACAUGAAGAUUAAAAGAUAAAAGAACAUUAUAAUAUAUGAUGUCAUAAUAAAUAUGAUUAUCAAAUUAGAAAAGAAAGAAAACGAGUGCAGGGACCGAAUCCACUCUAAACCAUAGCUAUUAAACCUAGACCGGGGGUUAACCUGACCAAGGGGCCGAGUCCUGGGUCACACGGAUUGACCCAGAUUGACCCAGGUCAAUAAAAUAAAAAUUUAAGGUUUGAAUAUAAAGUUUUUUUUAUCUUAUAUUAGAAAGAUACUAUUUUAUCUUUUUAAAUUGAAGUAUUUAAAUAAAAAGAUUUUCUUAUCCCAUAUUGAAAAAAACACAACUCUUUUCUUGUUACAUAAAGUAUAUAUGUAUGUAUGUAUGUAUGUAUAAAACAUUCUGUAGUGUUUAUAUAGUGAACUUUGUUGUGGGUUAGUAACUAACAAGAAAAUGAUGGUAGGUUCGCUCGCAUAAGGUUUGGCCAAGAAAGAAGAAAACCUUUGAUUGCUCCCCAUACGUGUGAGGCAAAGUCUAUGCUUUUUAGAUCCUUUAUCUUCAUUGAUAAUUUUGUUUAUAUCUCCAUUAACUAAAACCACUACUUUUUAUUGUUGUCCAUCCCUAGCUAAUGUGGUUAUUUUUUAUUGCUUUCCAUCCCAACUUGAACUACAUUGCUUAUCUGGUAGUGUUCAUUGGCAUGCUAAAACAAACUAUAAAUUUGAUUUUUCAGUUUGUUAAAUGAAAUGCUUGCAUUGAAAAAAAUAUUAUUACAUGUUAAAAUGUGUAUAAGUAAGAAAAUAGGGAGAAAGGUUUAUGCCUUUACAAAAAAAACAUGGACAUGAAAAAAAAAAUUGUCUCUUCCGGGUUUAUUAAGUUACCUGAAUUUUAAGUUGUUUAGACAGUUUUUUCCUGGUUAAUUAUAGGCUUAGCCUCAAAUCCCUGUCAACCUAUCGGACAUAAUCGAGUCCAACAACUAUGCUCUUAGGGCCUGUUUGGGAUUGUGAUAGCGGUUGCAGUUUAAAGUAUUUUUCGCUUAGAAAUACAUCAAAAUAAUAUAUUUUUUUAAUUUUUAAAAAUUAUUUUGAUAUCGGCAUAUCAAAACAAUUUGAAGACAUUAAAAAAAAUCACAAAAAAAUUAAAAUUUAAAAUAAUACGCUUUGCCAUAGUUUUGAAACCCGACCCGAUCAUCGACCCGGUCCAGUGAUCGGGUCAUGAGUCAGAUGGGUUGACCUGGGUCAACCAAAAAAAAACACCUAUAUAAAACACCUAACUAGUUACAAAUUUACAAUGCAACACUUACAUAAACCAAAUUUAAAUUUUAAACCAACAACAUAAAUUUAAUUCAAUAUCCAAAACACAAACCAAAUAUAAAUUCUAAAAUAUUUAAAACAAAAUAUCCAACAACAUAAAUUCUAAAUCAACAACACAUUCACUUUGGUUGAAUGAACACAUUAAGUUCUUCUGUGUCCAUGGGAGCAAAAUUUGGAUUAAAUGUCGAUGGAAUUGAGCCAAUCUCGUCAACACCUAAUAAAUCAUCAGCAUGCUCCUUUGAAACUUCAUCGUCACAAUCAUCUUCAAUCUCAUUAACAUUUAUGACAUUUAUAUUUCAAACACAAUUAACAAAUAAAUAUUAUGUGUUAAACAAUACUUUAUUUUAAAUAAUAUUUAUCACUAAAUAAUCAAUCAUUAAUUACCAUCAUCUAAAGUAUCUUGUAUGGUCAUAGUUGAUAGAGCUUGGUGAAAACUCUCUGCUUCUUCAGUUGUCAAAAUUGACGGGUCAUCUUCCACUACCCAAUUUUCAAUGUCACAAAUUGUCUCAACAUUAAUUGGAUCAUAAUUUCAUCCUUUCCAAUAAUUCCUAUAUAUUAAAAGUGAAGGUUAACAUAAUAUAAGUAUUAAUAAUGCUACUAAAUAAGAUAAAAUAAUAUUUAAGGAAUUAGAGAAAAGAAAAAUAUUUUUGUUUCAAUCUUAGAUUGCAGUGGACGUAAACAAGGUCGUUAAGCCUUUGGUGCUCCAAUCUAUUUCUCUUCUUGGAGUGAAUAUGUUCAAACAUACUCCAAUUUCUCUCGUAUCCCGAAGAACUACAUGUUUGACUUAACACUCAUAUAACCAACUGUUGUAGAUUUGGAGCACUAGUUCCAUAUGUCAUUCACCAUUCAUCUAUACAAAAAUAUAAUAAGUAAGAGUGUAAGACUGUCAAAUAAUAUUUUUAAAUAUAAAAAUUAUAUACCUGGAGGCAUAAGGGUGCGAUUAUUUAUUGAGGACGCUCAACCAAAGUCAUGUUCAGCAUUCCUAAACAACUUCAUCUCACUUGUAAUCUUACUUUGCAAUGAUAGAUUUCCAUGUGCAUACUUCUCAAGAACAUCUAGAAGUCCAGAAAUGGUGCUCAUAUGUUUAUCCAAUAUAUUUGCAUUAUAUUGAAAUCGAGAAUUCAACCAAAAUGCCGCUGCAUAAAGAUUUCUAUAUAGUUGUCCAUCCUACCGAUUAUUGAUAAUGUCUAUGAAAGGUUUCACUCUAGCCUUUCUCUUUUGAAAUCUCCUCAUCAUUUCUUCUUUUGCAUGAUGAAUAGCAUCAUACAAAUAUCCCAUCGAAGGUCUAUCAUUACCAUCAACCAUUCGUAGAACUCGAACUAAAGGUUCACUCAUUCGCACAAUUAUUGCACAUUCUUCCCAAAACAGAGAGUCUAGUACACUCUCAACAAAAUUUUUUCCUUUGCUAUCUUUAGCAUAAGCAGAUGAGACUCAUUCCCUAGAUGUCACCAUAGCUCUCAACUCAUCUUUAUGAACUAAAAUGCUUUGCAAUACAAUGAAAUUUGUAGCAAAACAAGUAGGAGCUGGACUUCCUCCGGUGAACUUCCUCAUCAAAUACAAUGGAUAACAAUGAUUAUAAAUAUAUUUUGUGAUACCAUAAGCAUGCUCAACAACACAACAAACUGACUGCAAUUUACCAAUGUCCUGGAGUAUGAGGUUGAUGCAAUGAACAGCACAAAGAGACCAAAAUAUUGAAAGAAAUUCUUCCAUCAAUAACCUGCCAGCAGCAACAUAAUUUGAAGCAUUAUCAGUCACCAUAUGCACAAUGUUUUCUACCCCAACAUACAAAACAACCUCUCUGAACAACUGAUAUAACAAUCUAGUAGUCUUUGAGACAUCUGAUAUAUCCACAGUUUUCGAAAAAAUUAUUCCUUUAGGACAAUAUACUAAGAAGUUAAUUAAAGUCCUCCUCUUCUGAUCUGUUCAUCCAUCAGCCAUUAAUGUGCAACCAGUCUUUUUCCAAAUCUCUCGAUAACUCUCAACAUAAAUCUUCACUUCAUCAACCGUUUUUGCCAAGUAAUAACCACGAAUAGCAUGUAAAUUUGGUCCUUUAUAACCAGGACCCAUGGCUGUUACAACAUCUAUGGCAUGUUGAUAAUACACAGAGUUAACAGCAUUAAAUGGCACACAUGCAUCAAUCAUCCACUUUGCUAAAGCAAGAUCACACCGUUCAACUGCUUCUUUCCUUUGCCAACAAUUCUGAAGAGACUUUUGAACACCAGGAGUUGUUCUCGGCAUGAAAUAUGUCCUUAAUGUUGCAGAUUUCUUCUGUUUUCCAUAACUUGUAGUCGAUUGUUUUACAGUGCUGGUGCUUUGAAUCUUUUUAUUUUUUGCAACCUUCGGUGGUAACAUAUGUUUUUUAGUAUUGACAUCCUCAUCAUCAUCGUCAUCUUCUAAUUGCCUAAUCAUCAUCUCUUCAUACUCCCUUUGUUGUGCAUUAAACGGAUUAAAAUCUGCUUGCAUUUCUCUAACUCUUUUUUUUUCAGCAUUUCCUUUAAGAUUCAAAAGCAUUUGAUGUCGAACAUCAUGAGGACAUUUGCGACGUUGUUCAACUUCUCCUUUAGCUCCAGCUAAAUGUUGCUUAAAUCGAUUAAUGCCACCACCCGCAAAUACGUUAGCACAAUAUAAACAUAUUAAGGCCAUGUUUAUUUCCUGGAAAGUGGUUUCCGGUUCUAAAUUUUCCUGUGUUUGUUUGCCAUUAGAAAAGUUGGUCAACGAAAAACACUUUUCAGUCAAAGGAAAAUUUGGCUUGGUUUCCAGGAAAGUGUUUUCCUGGAAAAUUUGGGCGGAAAACACUUUCCGGAAGUUGUGAAGAAUUUAGAAAUGUCAUAUUAUUUGUUGAUUAUAUCAAAUUUGGUCCUCAAACUUUUGAUUGCUAUAUAUAUUUUGUUUUGAAUAUUUAUUUUUCAAUUUCAUCUCUUAAAAUUUAAUUUUUAUAUUAAUUUUACUCCUCAUUUUUAUAAUUGUUAUUUGCUUUUCCCUUAUCAUUUUCUUAUUGAAAUUUUUUAUCUAUAAAAUUUGGUCCUCAUUCUUUUGAUUGUUACUUAUUUUAUUUGAAAUAAUUUAUGAAAUAUUAAUUAUUAUAAUUUUAAUUUCUUCAUCUUUCAUUUUUAUUUUAUUUUUUAGAUUUGAUUUCUAUUAUUUUGAUUAUUAUUUAUUUUAUUUGAGAUAAUUUAUGAAAUUAUAUUUUUUUUCAAUUUCAUCCUCAUUUAACUUUUUAAUUUGUAAGAUUUGUUCCUCAUUAUUUUAAUAAACUUGAGAAAAUAAAAACAUUAAUAAGUUAUUUUCCAACUCAUUUUCCAUGACAUAACCAAACACUAGAAAGUGUUUUCCAACUUAUUUUUCAUUACACUACCAAACAUCAGAAAAUAAUUCACUUUCCUGAAAUUCACUAUCCCAGAAUUCACUUUUCAAAAGAAAACUAUUUUCCAGCAAACAAACGGGGCCUAAUUUAGUUUUUUUACAUCCAACACUAAGUUCAGGAGCUUCUCUACAAUGACCCCAUGCCAAAUCUGUUCUUCCUCUACUACCACUUGACAUGGAAAUUGAAGGUUGAGAUGAUUGGGUCGUUGAAGGAUCACUACUUAGAGUACUACCAUCAUGUAAAGACAUUUUAAGGACCUGAUAUAAUUUAUAAGAGGGAAUAUAAUUUCAAGCCAAAUCAUAUACUUUUAUUAUAUAAUGAAUAAAUGACUUCAGUAUUUGUUUUUUAGAUUAUUUUCUUAUCUUGAGAAAAUUUUGUUUCCUAAUGGAACCUUGCAAGGAUACUAGACAGAGGGAAAGUAUUUACGGAAAAAAUCAAACACUGGAUGGCCUAAUAUGAUCGUGAUGAGCCUGAAGGUUAAAUUAAGCCUGAAGGUUAAAUUAUUAGUCAACUAAUAUGAUCCUGAUUCCUGAAGGUUAAAUUAAUAGUUAACUAAAAUCAACUAAAAUGCCAGUAAAUGAUCCUGAUUCCUAAAGGUUACAAAAUUAACUAAGCACAACCGACUUAAGCAGAACAGUAACAAAAUUAACCAAUUUGCAGAAGCAAAAGCAAAAGCAGAACAAACAAACAGGGACAUCAAAUUCAAUCACUCCAGCAGAAGCAAAAACAACUAAUUUGCAGAAGCAGAAGUAAAAGUAGAACGAAUGAACAGUGAAACAAAAUUCACAGUAAAAUAGAAUAACAAGUCAAGAGGUUUCUCAUCAUAUUUGUUCCAUGUCUGAGCAAUAUUCACAGCAAAGUUCAGGUCUUUGACCAUUUGAAGUCGCAGAAAAAUAAAAGAACAUAGAAAGUGAGAUACAUACAUGCGGAGCUUGAUGCAACCAUAUUAUUCGAUAGUUUCACCCACAUUUAACUAGUGUUUUGCCUAUGUUUUAUAUAUAAAAUGUCUUAAUAUUCUUUGUUUUAUGUUUUGAAGGCACUUUUGGAUGAAAGAUGCAAAAAUGAGUAAAUUAGAGAUAAUUGGCAGAUUUGACCUUCAGUCGAUGUUUUGUGCAAAGCGUGAGCUCUAGAGUUUGAAAUGACGUGAUUCCAGUGGCAUUAAAAAGAUAACAUCCAUACCUUUCUGGACAUCUAAGGUAAGAAAAUAAAAUAAGGAAGAGCAUGGAAAUCGCAGCCUUCAAAGUCAAAUCUCGCAAUCUGCCAAUGUUGACCUUUAGCCAUUAGAAAUUCAAUAUCUGGAGCCAUAGAAGUCCAAUUGAUGCAAACUCAAUUUUGUUGGCUUCCUGACUAACAUUCCUAUAAACGCACAAAAUUUCAGUCAUAUGAGGGAGAUAUGAUUUUUCAAAGAUGACAACUGAAUUAUGCCAGCAAACAGGUUUCGUGAAGAAACGAGUCCAAAUUACGUUCUGAAGCAUCUAAAUCGAUAUCCAAGUUUUUAUUUCAGCAAUUUAGCUCCUCUAAGUCAAAGCUUGAAGAUUUCAUACAAGGCUAUUUCUUCUUUUCUAGGAAAAUAGUUAUUGAAGUACUUAAAUGUAAAUAGUCUACUUAAGGGAGGACUAUUUUGUAAAAUAGAGACUAGGGUUUCCUAUGAUAUAAAAAGAAUGAGAGAAGAGAAGGGGAGCAGCCAGCCAAGAGGAGAAAAACACCCCCCUCCUCUAAGAAACUCGAAAUCAUGCAUUUCUCUUUCUUUUUUAUUAGUUGUUCAACAAACAUGCAAGGCUUCAGAUUUCAAGAACUGUGAGAUUUAUUUUACCUUUUCUUUUCAGUUUAUAUGAUGAAUAUGUUUGUUCUUCUAUGCUUAUUUUUCCUAUGAUUGUUUAUUUUAAUUGCUAGAGUGGACUCUAAGUUAUUAUUGUAGACAAUCUAUUGCUAAGUUUGAUAUCAAAACCGGAGUUUUGGUAUAUGAACUUGUGAAGCAACUGAGUUUAAUAAUUGUGACGGAUCUACGUUAUUAAUCUUAAGGAGAACAUUCAAUCAAAUCAAACAUAGACUGCGGACAGUUAUGUUUUCUUGAUUAAUCAACUUAUCUAGUUCUUAAGGCUGCCGUUGAAUUAAAUUACUAGUGCGGACACUGUGGUUGUUUGAUGGUUAGGGUUAGUUAUACAGCGGAUCCGUUAACUAACCAAUGUUAAGAAGAGAUAAAUAUUCAGAAUAUAAAUUGAUGUUUCGUUUCCAUGACCAGUUCUGUUUUGUAUAGGUGGAUGUGUGCUUGCAACCAAGGUUUGUUCUCUUGAUAAUUUUCUGAUUUUAUUAAAUUUCGUUUGAUAGUUUUCUGCUUUCUUUUGCUUUAGCCUAGAUAACGUCCAACCCCCCCCAAAAAUUGCAUAUCAUUUAGCAUAAAAAUCUAACUCGAAUCUUCCUCGUGGGAUCGACCCCUUGCUUGCUCUAUACUAUCUUGUGUGUUCUGUUUGAAGCUAGGGUAAUUAAUUUGUGCGACCGCGACAUCGCAAUAGAGCUGCAAGCCUGCAAGUUCAAAACAAAUGGGUCAACAGAGGGAAGAAUCGAUGCCACUGUUAUAGUAAAGCUCUCCUACAAGUUCAACAGAGGGAAGAAUCUUUAAAACAGAGGAUAUGCCACUAUUAUAGAAAAGAGAGAGCGAAAGAAGAAAGAAACAAGUAACAACAACUCAUCUAACCUUAUUCUCAUAUUUGAAACAAUGAUCAAGGAUUCAAGAGUCUUCUGCUCCUCUACUCUUCUUCGCGACUGAAAUGGGUUUAAAGAUUUCUUGAAUUAGCUUUGAAAUUAAUUAGGUCUUCUGCACUGCGUUCGUGACUUCGUUCCUCUGCUCUUCUCAUUUUGGCCUUUUAAUUGUAAAAGGCCAAAACGACGUCGUUUCGGUCAUGAAUAUAUAUAUAAAAAAUAAACUCGGGUCUCAACCGGCCCGGAUCAACCCUCUGGGUCGACUGGGUCAAUUCCCAACCUGUUUUUUUCUUAGACUCGUGUCGGCCAGGUCCCGGGUCGAUCCACCAGGCCGGACCGGGUUUUAAAACUAUACAUUUUGCACCUCGUUUAUGAAACCCUAAAUUCCUUAAAAUUUCACAGGGGCAUUUCCGUCAAAAGAUAAAAACUUAAAAUUAAAAAAAAAAUUAAAAAAAAAAUAAAAAGAAGGGAGCCUACAUCUAGCUGGUCAUGUCAGGUUAGGGAGGAGAGAAAGAAAAACUUGCUCAAAUAGAUGAUAGAUUCGGUCAGUUGGCAAUAAUUGCCAGGCUGUACACAUCUCUCCGUGUUCAAUAGCACCUUUUGUUUUGUUUUCUUCUCUUUCAACCAGUAUCUCCCCCUCCAUCCUUGUACUCUCCUGAAAUAAUCUAUCUCCAUCUUGUCUCUCUAUUUCCACUCUGCUACUGCAACCACCCCAAUGCAGUGUGCGCAUCGCGCACCCUCUCUCUUCUUCACUCUACACACAUUACCCCCAUGUACUCCACCAGCCUGUUUCUGCUAACCCCUGGCUUCCCUCCUCCUCCUCUGCUUCUUCUUCAUCCUUCUUUUAACAAAUUUUAAAAAGCCUAAUUAAAACCACCCCCACCUUCUCCCUUUUGUGUUUGUGUAUUUCUUUCGUGAAAGUGAAAGGCGAAGGGCAGAAGAAUAAUGGAUCCUUGCCCUUUCGUGCGCUUAACAGUAGGAAAUCUGGCUUUAAAAAUCCCUGUCGCUUCAAAACCUGCACGCUCUGUGGUUCACCCAUCAUCUUCUCCCUGUUUUUGCAAAAUCAAGCUCAAAAACUUCCCUCUUCAAACGGCUGUCAUUCCUUACAUUCCAUCUCAAUUUCCUGAAGGUCAGCUCCAAACUCCAGCUGCCACUUUCCACCUAAGCAAGUCUGAUCUCGACCGGCUCGUUGCCAAAUCUAUUUUCACCAACAAACUCCAACUCAAAAUCUCUCUCUAUACUGGCCGCCUCGGCACUACUUGUGGAGUUAACUCUGGGAGGUUGUUAGGGAAAGUUUCUGUACCUUUGGAUCUGGCGGGAACGGAAUCUAGAGGUGUUACGUUUCAUAAUGGAUGGAUUUCUAUUGGAAAAGAGAGUGUAAAGAGUUCCUCUGCUGUAUUUCAUUUGAAUGUUAAAGCUGAGCCUGAUCCAAGGUUUGUUUUUCAAUUUGACGGAGAACCUGAGUGCAGUCCCCAAGUGUUUCAGAUCCGAGGCAAUAUCAGGCAACCUGUUUUUACUUGCAAAUUCAGCCUUAGAACCACCGGCGGUGGUGACCGCAAUCGGAGAUCCAUGUUAGUUUGUUUUAGGGUUUUAACCUUCUUGCUUUUUAAUUUUAGUAAAAUCAAGCAUUAAUUUUUUUUUUUAAAUAGAGUAAAGCGCUGCAUUUGUUAAUCUCUUAAUCCAACUUGUUUUUAUUAAAAAGAGACUAAUACAAGUUAAUCAUGUUUUUUUAGGUGAUUAAAAACUUAAUUAUAUAUCUUUUUGGAGAUUAUUAUCCCAUCUUAUUUCGUGCUAUGUUGCUAAUUAAUUUGGAGUUACUUGUUUCUGGUUUUGCCCAGAUCAUUGCAAGAGGAGCCCAGCAGCUCAAGGAGCUGGCUAAGUUCAUUUGGUAGCGAAAUAGAGAGACCACUGAAAGAAAGAAAAGGCUGGUCAAUAACAGUCCAUGAUUUAUCCGGCUCACCAGUUGCCGCAGCUUCAAUGGUUACUCCAUUCGUACCUUCACCUGGUUCAGACAGAGUAAGCCGCUCGAACCCUGGUUCAUGGCUCAUCCUCCGCCCUGGAGCUGGUACCUGGAAACCAUGGGGCCGGCUGGAGUCUUGGCGCGAGCGCGGCUCGUCUGAUGGACUUGGCUACCGUUUUGAACUAAUCCCUGACACAAACGGCACUUUGAGCGCAGCCAGUAUUGUAUUAGCCGAGAGCACACUAAGUUCGCACAAAGGAGGCAAGUUUGUAAUUGAUUUAGGAGCCUGCUCAAACGGACGAACCACGCCGGCAAAUUCGGCUUCUCCUGUGUGUAGCCCAAGGGGUGGUGGCGAUCACGGUUAUGGAUUGUGGCCUAAUUGUAUGCACAGAGGGUUUGUAAUGUCGGCUAGCGUGGAAGGAGAAGGGAAGUGCAGUAAACCUGGCGUGGAAGUUGGUGUGCAGCACGUCAAUUGUACUGAAGAUGCAGCUGCUUUCGUGGCAUUAGCUGCUGCCGUUGAUUUGAGUAUGGAUGCUUGUAAGCUCUUCUCGCAACGGUUAAGAAAAGAGCUCUGUCAAGAUCAGGAUAUGCUUGGCUGACAGGGGUGAUGAUUCUGGUUUUUUUGUUUUUUUUUGGCGGGGGGAGGGGGGCGCUUUUACGUUGUCGUUUUGUGAUAAUUAAUUUUUUUCGGGUGGAUGGAUCUUAAUAUUUUCCUGCUACCAAGUACAAACAAAUAACUGACUGUGUACAGGGAGCUAGAUUAGACAGGCACGCUUUGUUUUAAUUUGGGUGGCUCGUUUUUAUUUGUUUUUAAGAAAAAAGCGUUAUGAAGGUGAUGUUUUAUAUCUUUGAUGUUUCUGUGAUAUUGGUUUUUUUUUUUGAAAUUAAUAUUUUUUUAUUUUAUUAGAUGAAUUUGAUGUGUUAAUACUAAAAAUAAAUUUUUAAAAAAUAAAAAUAUAUUAAUUUAAUGUAUUUUUAAAUAAAAAAUAUCUUAAAAAUAAUUGAUAUACUAAACAGGGUUUUAUACGGUUGAUUAACUGUAUUUUUAAUUUUAAGUUAUCUUUUUGUGAGUUUUUGUAUUAUUUUAAAAUAAUAGAGUUAAAAAUAAAUUUUAAAAAUAAAAGAAAAUAUUAUUUGUAAAACAGGACAAUUACAUGUGAAAUUUCUUCUGCAGAAAUAAUUUUAGUAAUUGUUUUUAAAAUAAAGAUAAUGUUUGUUUAUUUGUAAGAGAUAAUAUUUUAAAAAUAAAUAAAUAUUAGUUUUAAUCUAGUGAUAUAAAUAAUAUUUAUUUAAAUAUAAAAGUUAUUUUAAAUUUAACAAAUAAAUCAAUUCAUUGUUAAUGGAUAUACAGCUAAGCAUGCGUUAAAAAUAAAAAUAAAAAUUCAAUUUCACGCGCCAUGAAUAUAUAUUUUUACAAUAUUAUCAUUGAUUAUUUUAAAGAAAGAGAAAAAAAUAAAAUAUAAAAAGAGCACUUCAUUGGAAAUCAAAUUAAUUUCCAACAUAAAAUCUUUGGUGCUAUUGACAAAGAAUAUUUAUUUUUAAAAUUCAAAAUUUGAAAGAUUAUUUUUGAAAGUUAGAGAUGAGAUAUGGAGGUUGGUGCGGGGGAGCAGGUACGGGAAGUGCUGGGCGUGCACGCAAGGACUCAAUGAAAAAGAGCAACAAAAGAAAGAGAGAGAGAAGUGGAUGGUAGCUGUAAUGCGCUUUUGAGUUAUAUAAUAAAUUUGGCUUUGGUAUGAAUGAAGUGUGGAGCUGCUGCUUAUUACUGCUAUUAAUUAUUAGGAGCGUUUAUCUGACUUGUGCAGCAAAUAGCUUAUUUUAUAAUCUUAAGUUUUCCUUUAUGGAAAGAUCGGAUCCCACUGUCGAAGACUGUUUCUGGGGACCGACGACCAUUCAUGGCAUGGCUAGAGGUGAUUCUGAAGGUGAGCUCAAGUGGUCCGGAAACGAUUUCAUAAUCCGGCCCGUGUUGGGACUCCUCUUUCUGAAAUGAGGAGUCACGUUCACGUCUUCAGGGCUGACCUGAAACUGUCACAGCUAGCUUUUGUUGGAAAAUGAGGUCUGAGGAACAUUGUGCUUUGUAGGGUUGGCUUGUGGUGUCUUACUGUUACACAUGACAUGCUAACAAGAGGGGACCCAAGUUAAACACUGCUAUGCUAGCAUGAGAGAUUAAAUAGCUGGAGCUUCUGCUGCCUAUCCAGUAAAAAGUACGAGGAAUGGGCCUUUUUCUUCUUUUUAUCUCUCAAAUUUACAUUUAAUUUGAUCAGCGUGAAGUGACUGAAUCACGGGGACGCCUUGCAGCCAGAUUAUUAUUAUUAUUAUUAUUAUUAUUAUAAUUCAUUUGCUUAUGACUUGCAGUGGUUGUCUGUCGACCGGUGAGCUUUUCGGGUGCGUUUGUUUUGCACCUAUUUGUGUGUUUACAGUAUAAAAGAUAUUUAGUAAUUAUAAAAACUGUGUUUUAUAGCAUAGAGCACAUUAAAAAAUUGAGUUUAAAAUGUAGUUUUUCUGAAGCAGUUUUUAUAUAUUUUUUUAAUUGAGUUUCAUAAAAUACCGUUUGUUUUUGUCUUUCAAAAGCGUUUUUGAAAAAAAUUGAUAAUUUUUUAUUUUUUUCUUUACUUCAAAUUAAUAUUUUUUUAGUAUUUUUAGAUCAUUUUGAUGCGCUAACAUCAAAAAUAAUUUUUAAAAAAUAAAAAUACAUUUUUUUAAUGCAUUUCCAAGUAAAAAUCACUUUGAAAAGCAACCACACAACUUUUAUACAUGUUUUUCGCGGCACAUAAAACCUCAACCAUAAUUUUUACCAAACACGUAUCUAAAUCCAACUAACCACACAUAACCAUAUUUUUUUUUAACUUAUUUUUUUUAAAUCACAACUAUAAAAACUACCUUAAAAACAAAUACUCUCUUUGCUGACCCGCAAACGAUACAACGUGAUUUCUUAGAAGAGAGUUUGCUCUGUUUGGUAUCGCGAUCGAGUAAAAUUUAAUUUUUUUAUUUAAAAUUUAUUUUUUAAUUUUUUUAAUUUUUUUGAUAUGUUGAUAUCAAAAAUAAUUUUUAAAAAAUAAAAAAAUAUAUUAUUUUGAUAUAUUUUCGAGUAGAAAAUACUUUAAAAAAAAAAAAACCUUCUCUUUUUUUUUUUUUUAAUCAUUAGAAUCAUGUUAGAAUGUACAAGUCAGUUGCCCAAGCUGGAUAUAAUUUUUUCAUAAUAUAAUUAAACCCAACCAAGCUCUAAUGGGGCAAUAUAAUGACCGCGUUGGGUUUUAAAGCAAAUUAAAUAGAAGUUUACCUAAUAAAACUCAACAACCUGGCAGAUACAUCCUAGUAAAAACCCAAGUUGCCUUAUAAAAAAAUUAAAAAUAUUAAUUUAAUAUUUUUUAUUUAUAAAUACAUUUAAUUAAAUUAUUUAUAAAAAUAGAUAUCUGUUGGAUGCGUUGGGCUGGAUUGUUUCCUAUCGUGAAAGGGGAGCGAAGUCAGAGCUAUUCUUUAAGUUAAAAAUGGACUUCCCAAACCUUAGAUACAAUGCCAAGUUUCUUUAAGUUGAAACCCACGUAGCUUGGGCUUCUUCCUUCAAUUCACAAAUCAAUUAAUCAGAAGUUUCGAGUAGUCUUCAAAAGAUAUUUAUAAAAAAGUUUGUCCGCCAUUUAUGGAUAUUUAUAAAUAAUAAUUUAAUUAAUUCCAUCUAUAUCCUUUCUUUAGACCUUUCAUGUUUUCGAGGAAUUUUUUUCCUAGAUUCUAACACCUGUUUCUACCAACUUUAAACCAUGCCAUAUCAAAUUACCUUAUACUACAUUUCACCAUUAUUCUUUCAUCAUUUAUUUUUUCAUCUGCUUUUUUAUUCUUAUUUUUGUGUUUUUUGUUUUUCAGCUAUUUUUUGUAAUUUAAUUUUUUUAAAAAAAUCAUCCAUACAUACACAUUUUAUUCUAAUUUUUCAUAUCUAUCAUCAUCCUGAUGAGUUAAAUAUUCAAUUUAUUUAGUAUAAGUUUUCCCUUGUUAAUUUUAUUAAAAAAAAUCCAAUGAUUUACACAAACACUGCUUCAAUAAAGACUUGCACCUUGUUGAUGAAUUGCUGGAAGAUUUAGUUGGGCAGGAGUGCCUAUAGUAACGGUUAGAUUCGACAUGCAUCCCGAUCCAUGUGUGUCUAUAUUGUAUGCUAUCGAAUAAUGUAAUAAUAUCAAAAAUAAAUUUUUGGUAAGAAAUUAAUGGCUUUUUUAUAUCAUCAUUUUCCCACAAAUAGCACCAAUGAUGAUAUCUUAAAAAACCUCAGGGUGCUUAGGAACAAGACUUAUAUGGGUGGAUAAAUUGGUUAAUCACUUGGCCGUAUAAUCUAUUCCAUUCUCUAUGGCUAUGAUGGCCAAAAUAGGUGUAGCUUGAUGUGGAAAGCUAAAAAUACCUGCAAAAGGUCAUUUAUGGUAGGUUAAAGGACUCUCAGAUGGUUAAGUAAAUAUUUUUAUAGUGAGAGAAAGAGUGCAAUGAUAUUAUAUAUAUAUAUAUAUAUAUAUAUAUAUAUAUAUUAAAAAGGGUUUUUAUGCUCGGCGUGUCCUUUAUAUGAAAAUCUGAGGCCAUGGGGCCAUUCCUUUGACUCGUACUGAUGAGAAUUUGACUCCACGAGAAAUUGAGCAAAAAGCAGCGGAAUUGGCUUAUUUUUUACGUGUACCUAUUGAAGUAUUUUGAAAUAAACCGAAGCAUUUUUCUUAGCAGGAGGUAAAAAAUGUCCAAUCAAUUUUUACCUCUUAUUCUAGUGUGUACUUUCGGAGGAGCAUGCAAGCAAGAAGGAAGUUUGUGCUUGAUGCAAAUGGCUAAAAUUUAUUCCGCUUUAUAUGAUUGUCAAUUGAAUAAAAAGUUAGUUUAUGUAUCAAUCCUUACAUCUCCUACGACUGGUGGGGUGACAACUAGUUUUGGUAUGUUGGGGGAUAUCAUUAUUGUUGAACCCAACGCCUACAUUGCAUUUGCAGGUAAAAGAGUAAUAGAACAAACAUUGAAUAAGACAGUACCUGAAGGUUCACAAGCGGCUGAAUUUUUAUUCCAUAAGGGCUUAUUCAAUCCAAUCGUACCACGUAAUCUGUUAAAGGAUGUAGAGUGUGAACCCUUUACCUACAAUGAAUAUUUAUAGCCCAUGAACUUUAUUUUUUUGCUGGAGUGGAGGGGCUGGAUAGUCAUUUUACCCUGAUAAAUUAAUCUUGAAUCAUGAAUUUAGACUUAGAGGAAUUAAAUUUCCCAAAUAUAGACUUGGAUGUCGGUUUGGAUGCUUGGAAAGUAAAUUGAACUCGUUUCUUCACAAAACCUGUCCACUGAUAGAAUUUAUAAGUCAUCUUAGAAAAAUCAUAUCUCUCUCUUGUGAGCUCAUUUUCUACUACAAUUUGGUAGGCUUAUAGGUCUUCAAGUCAGGAAUUCAACACAAGUAAGUUUGCAUCAAAUAGAUCUCUCUAACUCAAGAUAUUCAAGUUGGAAUGACCGAAGGUCAACACUGGCAAAAUACGAGAUCUGUCUUUGAAGGCUGCGAUUUCCAUGCUCUUUCUCUUUUUAUUUUUCUUGCCAUAUAUGUAUAAAACGAUAUGGAUAUUAGAUUUCUAAUGCCACUGGAAUCACUUCAUUUCUACCUCUAGAGCUCAAGCUCUGCACAAAACAUUGAUCAAAUGUCAAAUCUGCCUUUAAAUCAUAAAACAAAAAAUAUCAAGGCAUUUUAUACAUAAAAAAAAUACAAAAUACUAGGCAAAUGUGAGUAAAACUAUCAAAUAAUAUGAUUGCAUCAAUAUUCAAUUAAAUCGAACAUCGAUUGUAAACAAUUAUGUUAUCUAGAUUUAUCAAGCUAUCUAGUUCUCAAGGUUGUCAUUGUAUUAAAUUACUAUUGCAAAUACUAUGAUUAUUUAAUUAUUAGGGUUAGUUACAUUAUGUAUUGGUUAAUUGACUAAUGUUAAGGAAAGAUAAAUAUUCAGAAUAUAAAAUAAUAUAUCGUUUCAAUGAUGAGUUUUAAUUUAUGUAAGUAGAUAUUUACUUGAGACCAAGAUUUUUCUCUUGAUUAGUCUCAAAUUUAUUUAAUUUAACUUGAUUAUUUUAUUCUAUUUAUCAUAGCAUAACCUAGACAACCUCAAACUUUGAAUCAUCUAGCAUAAAGACUUACACUAGAUCUUCCUUGUGAGAUCGUCCCUUUCUUACUCUAUACUAUCUUAUUUGUUUAAGUUGGGGUAAUUAAUUUGUAUAACUGUGAAAUCAUAAUAAAAGUCCACAAGUCAAAAGAAAAUAAAUAACAAAAUUCGUAAACUUGUCCGAACUUAUAUCGUGAGUCCUUCUCAAAUUUCGAUUCACCUAAAAGUUUUCCCCAACAUAGAAAAAUACAUCUGGAAUAUUUUGAUAAAAUUUCAGCUUGAUCCAACGGUUUGAUUUAAAGUUAUAUUCAAUAACGUAAAACUAGAUAAUAGAACAUUUUACGUUAAAAUCCAAAUCUAACCUUACUUGGAUCAUAUCACGACAUCUAUAAUAACUUUUUAGUCAAACCUAGUUUUAACCAAGUCAACCAAAUAAUAAUUGACCCCUUCAAAUUAACCGGUCAUAUUAAUUUAAGUUCUACAUGAUUAAGCCAAAUCAAAUGGCAUCAAAUGGCCUCCAAGUUGAUCUGCACAAUUUAAUAAGAUAAAAAAAUUUUAAUUAGACAAAUAUUUUUUGAAUCUUAUUUUAAAAUGUCCAAGAAUUUUUUGUAUGAUUGUUGUGAUUUUUUUAUAUAUUAAAUGAAUGAUACAUAACAGCAAAUAAUAUUUUUUAUUUUUAUAGAUAAGAGAUAUAAAUAAAAGAAGAUGUUAUACUAGCAAUUUGAAAUUAUUGCUCUUUUAAAAAUUAAAAAAAAAAUUCACCAUAUUAAUAAACAAGACUUUGAUAAAUCUUUAGAUCAGAUCUUGAUGUAUGUCAUUUUAUAAUUUUUUUUUUAUCAAACCGCUUCCUAGCACAGGCCAGUAACUAGUUUAAACUAAACAAUUCCAAUCUCUCAAGUAUGUUACAAUAUGUAUAAUCAAUCAUACAUGCUUUCAGUGCUGAAGAGUUCCCCUCAACGACGACAAAGACAACAGCAAAACGAACAAGAGAGUUACAGAGACACUGUCAAAGAGAAACAGCGUCGAUUCCAUUAUUUACAAAAAUCCAACUUUAUUUUGCCUUUGCAGCAGAUGCAGUGAAAGCAGAAAACAGUCUACAAAUCUCUUUUUAUUCCGGGAGAAAUUAAGACAACAAACACGAACUUAAACGCAAGGCUGCAAAUAACUGGCAAGAAAAGCAUAAGAGAGGAAUCAUAGAAUAGAGCAAGAGGAAGAAGAUCCAGCACCAUUUCCUUUGGGGUUAUUGGGAUCGACACCAGGCCAUUCACGGCAGAGACAGUGUUGCCCCUCAGGGAUGCCCCUAUAAACGGAAGGAACAUGCCUGCCACAACCACCCCAGGUGGUCUUGCCGCACGUUGAGCAUCUCUCCCUGUAACACAUCUUUCGGCUCUGAGAGUACUGUUGAUUGUUUCUUUUUAUGUUUUCUUCUCUCUUCGCCUCUUUAAUGAUUGAAUGGCGACGACAGA
rnacentral:lncRNA from 1 species